UAAAGAUCUCUCUUAGCACUCACACUGCUAUCUAGCGAAUCACCACCACUGCUACAUUCAAACCUAAUGUGGUCACCCACCGCCAUCUCUCAACACCAGCAGCCACUAAAUGUCUCACAAGGAAGCCGUUGGGAGGGGAGCCACCCCACCACCCGAGGAAGAAUCGAGGCCUCAGCUAACAUGUCACUGACUCGUCCAUUCCGUUCGAAGCCAGCUUCCAGCGAAUACCGCAGCGAGCCUACUACCACUCGACGCACCACGCUACACCACGUUACGCCACGUCACACCACACCACGCCACACCACGCCACACCACGCUACACCACGCUACACCACGUCACGCCACGUCACACCACACCACGCUACACCACGUUGCACCACGUUACACUACUACACUACACCACACUACACCACACCACACUAUACACAAGGUACAUCUCGCAUCCACACACCUCCUAGGUUAUAGGCGGUCGACCACCCGAGCGACCGUGCCUUCGAGUGCGCCACCUGCUGGGAUCUAACCACAUCGACACCCGCACCGUCAAUUACAACGUCUCUCAUUGUCUCAGCAUCGGAAACCAGCCCAACACGCCUUACUAUUAAGCUUGAUCUGUAUUAUCACAAUCGCAGCUGAAUUUACUAAUACAAGUUUAUACA